UACCAGCACCCCGAGUGGUCGGGACGUUUAUUGGGCCUAAAGCAUCCGUAGCCGGUUCUACAAGUCUUCCGUUAAAUCCAGCUGCUUAACAGAUGGGCUGCGGAAGAUACUAUGGAAGCUAGGAGGCGGGAGAGGCAAGCGGUACUCGAUGGGUAGGGGUAAAAUCCGUUGAAUCCAUUGAAGACCACCAGUGGCGAAGGCGGCGUUGCCAGAACGCGCUCGACGGUGAGGGAUGAAAGCUGGGGGAGCAAACCGGG
rnacentral:rRNA from 1 species